rnacentral:rRNA from 1 species
GAUGAACGCUAGCGGGAGGCUUAACACAUGCAAGUCGAGGGGCAUCACGGGGUAGCAAUACUCUGGUGGCGACCGGCGCACGGGUGAGUAACGCGUAUGUAACCUACCCUGUACAGGGGGAUAGCCCGGAGAAAUUCGGAUUAAUACCCCAUAAUAAUAUUGGAAGGCAUCUUUUGAUAUUUAAAGUUACGGCGGUACAGGAUGGGCAUGCGUGACAUUAGCUAGUUGGUAGGGUAACGGCCUACCAAGGCUACGAUGUCUAGGGGUCCUGAGAGGGUGAUCCCCCACACUGGUACUGAGACACGGACCAGACUCCUACGGGAGGCAGCAGUGAGGAAUAUUGGUCAAUGGACGGAAGUCUGAACCAGCCAUCCCGCGUGCAGGAAGAAGGCGCUAUGCGUUGUAAACUGCUUUUCCAGGGGAAGAAAUUUUCGCACGUGUGCGGAAUUGACGGUACCUUGGGAAUAAGCAUCGGCUAACUCCGUGCCAGCAGCCGCCGUAACAC